UAGAUGAUCGCUUGCUUGCGAGCAAGAGGAAAGUCCGGGCAGCACAGGAUACGACAGUCGCUAACGGCGACCGGGGGUGACCCUAGGGAAAGUGCCACAGAAACGAUACCGCUCCGCAGAAUACCAUUGUUUGGCUCGUGUGUUAUAUACGGCUAGCAGCGGGGUAAGGGUGAAAGGAGUGAGGUAAGAGCUCACAGCACUGUAUGGUGACAUACGGUGGAGGUAAACCCUGUUGGCUGCAAGGAGGUAGUUCUGGUAUGUGAUCCGCAUGAGCUACCGCUAACCGCUUGAUUUGCAAAGCAAUUUGCAAACUAGAUAGAUGAUCAUCCACGACAGAACCCGGCUUAUCGAUAGGCU
rnacentral:RNase_P_RNA from 1 species